AAUGAGGAGAAAAGAUGAAAAGCAAAAACAGUAUUCAGCAUUGGUUUUGCAGUGGACGUUACAGAGGAAGCGCCCCCCCUGCGCAGUGAGAGGGGCAGCCAAGCUCCUUCCCCGGGAUGACACUGGGCGUCCCAGCGCAAGCCCCCGCAGCUUUGACCUGUGCUGCAAGCAGCGAGCAGCAGCGGUGCUUUACCCUCACUUAUUUUGUGCGCCCGUUAGCAAGAUGUGUCCUAAGGCCAUUUCGACUUACAAAAGGUUUCAUAGGAACGCUUGACUUCUGCAUGGCUGGGGACACCUGUAUAUCUGAUAAGGGAUUGUAUCCAGAUUAGAGAAAUUCCUGGAAGUUUUUGAGCGAGAUCUCCAGGCAGGCACUGUCCUUGAGGUGAUGAGGUAGGAGUUCAAGGCAACAUUUCAAGAGGACAAUGGGGGAACUUCUAGGCGAGCUCAAUACUCUUGGGGGGGGGCAUGCAGGUAGGAGACAACAACUCAACAAAACAACAACAACAAUUAAAAAAUGGGCAAAGGACUUGAGUAGACAUUUCUUCAAAGAGGUGUAUAAAUGGCCCAUAAACACAUGAAAACAUGCUCAACAUCACUAAUCACUGGGGACGUGCGAAUGGAAACCAGAGCGAGCUAGCAGUCCGCAUCUAGUAGCUUGGCUGCCAUCAAAUACAUACAGAAAUAAACCAAAUCAAAAACCCCA
rnacentral:lncRNA from 1 species